GGUGGGCAGAGCAGCCACUGUGACUGCAUGACAGUGUUUCCAGCCUGGGCACGUCACCAGCCCUGGCACUGGGUGUAAAUCUUCCAACUCUCGCAGGUUCCCCACAGGUGCCUGGGGCUGCCGCAUCCUGGGGCUGGGACAGAGGAACAGGAGAGAAGUCUCAGGGUGGCAGCUGGUGGGAGCAGGUCUGCGGGUGAGGGCCUCUGCUCUCCCCACCAAGCAGGCAGGAGAGCUGGCCUGGAAGUCACUUGCCUCAACCUCCCAGAGGAGGGAGGUCACUGCUCCGUGCCCCUGUGGGGAUGGCCCGGAGCCACAGCAGAUGGGUCCCAACAGGAAGACGCCAGGUGACCUGCACUGCCCUGGCCAUGCCCAGUUCAGGUGGGAGAUGCCCUGGGCGCCUCUGCCUCAGGUUCUGCCAUCCUGCCUGCCUCCUGAUGCCUGGCUUCCUGUCUGUGAAGGGGCAGCACCAGACCUCUUUACUGGGCGGUGAGGACCAAGUGGGGGUGGGGAUCCUGUGCUUUUGGGGGCUGGGGAAGGACACUCGUCGUGGUCAUUCCGCGUGGAUGCAAAGAGUCACGCACAGAUCGCGGCAGAGCCAAGAGCCCUCUGGGUGGCCAGCUCACCCUUGCUCUCUCCAGGCCUGGGCCGGUCGAGAUGGAGAGUGAGCUGGCUGUGUCCCCUCGCUUUCCUGCCCAUCACGAGAAGCGUGGCCUCGGGCCCUGCACAUGUCGGUGGAGGCUCUGCUUCCCGAAACCUCCUGUGGUUUUACAUCCUUGGUUAAUUCCUGCUUCCUGUGAAGGGCCUGGUUGGGUCUGGACGGGAGAGUCCCUGUGGCAGGACUCUGUCAUGACCUCAUGCUGCAGCCUCUUGUCCUGGUGGAUGGCGUGAGGGUGAUGUGCCUGUCCACUCAUGCUGCAGCCUCUUGUCCUGGUGGAUGGCGUGAGGGUGAUGUGUCCAUUCCCGUGUUGGACUUUCUUGGAAAUGAGGAGCGGAGUCUUGGGCAGUUCUCAGAAGUGAGCUGCUGCAGUCCCUGCUCCAGGAGGCUGGUGGGAAGUGGGUGGUGGCUGCCGGCAGCUGGACUGGGCGCCGAGCCUCCCCUGCACAUCUGGAGGGUGUGGGGUGGCGGAAGCCGUGGCUUCGUGUCUGAGCAGGAGCCUGCACUCAACCCAGCAGUCAGCCCCGCCCGGCUUCACCCUCCCGCUCUCCUCCUGGGAUCAGGGUCCCUUAGGUGGCCCAGUCUCCCACCCCUCAUACCAGACCAGCUGGUCUCCGUCCCCUGUGCUGCAGGUGCCUGUCCCGGCCGGGGCCAGAGGCCCUGAAGCCCCUUGCAGCCUGGACACAGUGAGCAGGCUGCUGGCCGAGGAGCCCCGGGUGGUUCUGCCCUGGCAGCAAGGUGACCUGGGAGCGGGCCAGCGCUCUGGUCCUCGCUCGCAGGUGCCACUGGCCUCCUCCUCAGACCUGCACUGGGUGUGCUCAGAGAGCAGGCACCCUGGCCACGGAAGACCCAGGCGCCCCAGGCCCUACUGAAGCUGCCUCUCAACACCAAGUCCACAGGGACAUCUAACCAUGUCAACAGAAGCAGAUGCCUGAACAGUUGAGAGGAAGCCGUGGAGACACCAUUCUCUCCUGCACAAGAGCUACCCCUGGACUCAGCCCUGCCCACUGGGGGAGACCACCGCUCUGGUGUGGGCCAUACUCUGACCUCCCCGCAGCGAGAACAGAGGGAAGGGACAGGGUUUCUUCUGAGUGGGGACCCCUUGCCUCGACUGGGGGCGGUGAUAGUGACAGUGUGGCUUCGGCCUGCCAGAGUGGCCCUGCCUCAUUCCCUCAGGCCUAGGUCUUGCCCCUGUGUGAGGCCAAGGGGGGAGUGGAGGGCGGGGCUGUGGGACUGACCGUGGUGCAGGGCACCCUUCCUGCGUCUCAGAGGCCUUUGGGGGAUGAGGGAGGACAGAUGCAGGUCAGGUGAGGAUGCUGGUAUCCAGCCCCUGCCGUGGACAAGGCCACAGCCCAUCACCCUCAGCCCCGCGGGGAGGUGUUGUUCCUGGGGUCAGCUGGGGCAGUGCUGAGCCGGGCGCUCAGAGGAGGCUGUGGGUGGGAGGCAGGGGAGGCCACCUUCCUGUCCUGACAGCAGGACACAGGGCAGGCCUUCAGGCCACGGCCUUCCUCCUGCGGGAGAGUACUUUUUAUAGCACAAAUGGCCUUUUCUGCCCUGCUAUGUUCUGAGACACCAUCUCUGCAGCCAGAGGAGAGAGGCUGGCCCAGGCCCUGAGUCCAGACAUGGCUGCUGGGUGGGCACAGCUGGGCAGAGCCCGCCAAGCCCCCGGCAGCUUCCGCUGUCCACACCGGUGGGGGAGAUGCCCCUGUGCACCACCCCACGCCAGCCCUGUGGCUCCUGCACAUCCACAGGAGGGCCUCAGCUCUGCCUCCCCCAGGGCCUGCGCAGUGCGCGCCACCUUUACAACUGGACGGGGGGUGGGGCACAUCGUCAGAGGGGAUGCAGAGUCAAAAGAGUCCCUGGGGACUCAGAGGUCUCCAUCACAGCACCGGUGCGUCCCCAUGGUUGCACCAGGCUUGUCCUCCUCCCAUGUUGGGACAAACUGAGUGGAACCCAGAUUAGGGCAGCAAAGCAGGCCAGGUGCACUGUAUGUGCAGGCCACGCCCUGUGACACUGACCACCACCAGGGCAAAGUCCCGAGGCACAGGAAAGCAGGAGCAGCCAAGUGACCUGGGGCUCAGAGCUGCCUCCACUACCUGCCCGCAAGAGGGUGGUCUGCCUGAGGAUGGAGGGCGGCGUCACAAUGGCCCCGUCAGCCUCGGGCACCCUUGGGGUUUCUGGGCGUGGUGCUGCUGGCCUGCUGGUCCUGGUCUGCAGCCGACUUAUGGACAGGAGGGUGCCAGGCAGCCCUGGCCUCUGCCCACCUGCUGCCGAGGCACCCUGGGUCAGAUGUCCUGCUUCUGCAUUGCGGCCAUGGCUGGCAACAGACGUCUCUGCUCCUCUACAUUCUGCAGUGUUGGAGAAGCGUGCGACUGUAACAAGACGAUUGGCUGGAAACCAACCCUGCCCAACCGUCCCUCCCACCAGCUCUGUGUCCCCAGCACCUGCACCAAGAGGGGAUUUCUCCAUCCGCACACUCCUGUCCCCCCACUUUCUCUCUGCCGCUUCUUCUCUACUCUGAGCAGGUUGCACUUUCUCUCUCUCUAUCCCUGUCUCCAUCUCCUCAUCUCUGUCUCUGCCUAGGAUGAGGGGGAAAGGGGAUGCUGUUUCCCCUGGGCUAGGGAGGAGCAGGAGAGAGGAGGAGCGGAAGAGACGUGUCCUCAUAAAAACGGAAGAGCAGCCAGGCUGGACUCAAAGCAAGAAGUGGACACUGCUACAGGCCGAGGCCGCGGAGUGCGGCGCGCCCUACAGACGCGGCCCUGUCCAGGGAAAGGCAGGCCCUGGCCCAGGCCUCCCAGCCCCAGAUUCGCUGCAGAUUCUUCUCAGGCAGGGACCGUCAGGGAGAGCACCCAGCCCCGCUCCGCGUCCUGCUCACGGGCCCAGGGCUGCACAUUCCCCUCCCGCUGGAGAGGUCCCCAAGGCAGAGCUGCAGGAUGGACUGCCGCUCCACCAUGAUCCACUUUGAGGAAAAGGAAACUGAGCUCAGAAUGUCACGACGCCUUUGGCCAUUUGCUGGAGCUGGGUUUUCGAAGGCAGUGGAAGUGGAAGGAAUCUGUACCUGGCGGCCGGCCUGUUUUAAAGGUUCCCAUGCGUCCGCCGUGAUUCAGGCGAUCCUCUGUCUGCGGUCGUUGUAUCUGUUACUGGCCCUUGAAGACCUAAGCCUUGCUGCCUGGGUCUGAGCACGCGUCUCUUGAGCAGACAGGUCCUGGCUGAGAGGAAGAUGGCUGACUGUAGCAGAAUCUGAACUUUAAAUGGCUUCUCUAGAUCAUUACAGUCUGGACAUUGGAGUUGGUCUGUCUGUACAGGUUGACGCAGCUGCAGGACCAGAGGUCUGAACCCUCAGAGCUACGCGGAAGGGGCCAAGGGCACAGCUUCUGGUGAGCCAGGUCAGCAGGGCACCAGCAGAGACGGCAAGAAGACUUCCGUCUCUCCAGCCCAGUGCUGGCACCCAGCACGCUCCUCGGCCUGGCCCAGGCAGCCGCCAUCGUCUCACUCUGCUCCAGGACACCAGCCUUCACCUGGAAAAGAAAACCCCGGAAAAGCUGCCCGGGCUGUAAAAAAUAAAUGGCCACAGAGAGCUGCCUCUGUUGCCUUUCAGCCCUCUGCCCUCAGAGGUCGGAGGCUGCGGCCAUGAGAAUGUGGCAAUAGGUACCGGCACUGUCCGUUUAUGACCUGGGUACAGGAUAGUCCCCCCUUUCGCGAUCUGACAGGAGACCCCAUUUGGCCAGGGGAUGUCAUCCCGGGGGUGUGGGGGGCAGAGCGAUUCUUGCUAUAAUGGAAUCCCACCAAACUCACGCUGGGGGACUGGCCAGAUAAAUACUGCACCCAGAAAAGACAAAGGCAGAGACCAAGGCCCACCUGGGUUUUGUAGGCAGCCUCUGCAAAGGACUCUCCAGGAAGCCUCAGAGGACGGAAAGGACCCCCCCAGUGGACGCUGAUAGGCUAGUGUAAGAGCAAGGCCCCAGGAGCCUCUGGGGACCCUGACGGCAGGGACUCACCUCAAGCUGAUGGCAUUGGAGACAGGUCAGGCUCAGAACACCCUGUGCUCCAGCCCUGGAAGGCGACCGUGGGAGAGAAAGAUGAAGGACGCUGUUCUCUGUGCUGGGGCCCAGUCGUCUCCCGGAGGGAGUCUGCGUGUGGCUUGGAGGCCCAGGGAGCAUUCCCAAGGACUGUUUCAGAAGAUGUGUUUCAGAGAGCUCCUGGGCCUGAAAGAGAUGAAAGAAAGCUGUCGACAUGGAAAUGCAUCUAGUAUGGAAAAUCAGAAGGGAAAGGAAAUGUUCUGGAUGAGAAAGUGUUUUGUCUGGUAGAGUAUUGUUCUUGGGCUAAAGUCUAAGAUGAAAGAGGACAAAACUAAGGAUGUAAACAAGGGGUGAAUGUGUAAGUCACAGAAGGUUUGCAGAAGGCAAAGCUCAAAAAGUUUGUUUUUUACUAAAUUGGCUAUAAUUAGCACAGUCAGGUAUUCGAAUUUUAAUGUCCUAAUAUGAAGUGAAUACUGAAACAUUGAUUUUUUUUUUAAUCCAUCAAGAUGAUUUUCUUGUAUUUGUUAGAUUUUAUUACUUAGGGAAACUAAGUCUUAAAGAAGUUAGGGUUGUACCUGUUUUAAAUCUUUUAAAUGAUCAUUUUAUAACUGGUUUAGUGAACAACUUAUUUUAGGUUAUUACAAUACAGUUGACACCCUAAACAUAUGUGACUUGGUAUAUGUCUGCCUCUGAGAACUACAUCUGUCUACACCUUGUCUAAGUGUUCUGUAAAAAUCUAUAAAAUGAAAGUUUAUGCAAGUUCACAGGCAAGAUGACCAAUGAGUGAUCUCUUUUAUACAUGGUAUCUGAUAUAGACGGUCCACACUGUCAUCUGAAAACCUUUCCUCUAGCCGUUUGCUUUGACUAAGUCCAGAUCAUUCACACAGUUUCCUAAGUGUGUAAGAGAUUUAAGGUCAUUCUUUGAUGCUAACCAUGGAGACCUGUGAUUUUUGUUAUUGGACACUAUGGAUUCUAAAUUGCACUUUAAAAGUUAAACUUGGUUAAAUGUAAAGAUUCGGUGAGAGCACCUAACCAAGUUGGUGUUCUCCAGACUAAAGUUAUCUGUAGCAAUAGUCUCAUAUUUGUAUGGAAAUAACAAAUUUGGUUGGUGUUUAUUCAUGUCACUUGAUGUCUUAUAGCUGGAUAAAGUGACCUGCUGUCAAUAAGUCCUAUAUACACCUUUGUGUUACUGUGCACACUGGAAUAGGAAUUUAAAUGUAUUUUUGGAAGAUAAUAAGGACAUCUUGAUCUGUUUAAAUGUGACACUGUAAAAUUGGAAGAGUUCUGCCACUUUUUCCAUAAAAAGAAAGUUGACAGCU